GAACGCUGCGCGUGCUAUACAUGCAAGUAGAACGCUGAAGGAAGGAGCUUGCUCUUUCCGGAUGAGUUGCGAACGGGUGAGUAACGCGUAGGUAACCUGCCUGGUAGCGGGGGAUAACUAUUGGAAACGAUAGCUAAUACCGCAUAACAGUAGAUAUCGCAUGAUAGCUGCUUAAAAGGUGCAAUUGCACCACUACCAGAUGGACCUGCGUUGUAUUAGCUAGUUGGUGAGGUAACGGCUCACCAAGGCAACGAUACAUAGCCGACCUGAGAGGGUGAUCGGCCACACUGGGACUGAGACACGGCCCAGACUCCUACGGGAGGCAGCAGUAGGGAAUCUUCGGCAAUGGACGGAAGUCUGACCGAGCAACGCCGCGUGAGUGAAGAAGGUUUUCGGAUCGUAAAGCUCUGUUGUAAGAGAAGAACGAGAGUGAGAGUGGAAAGUUCACACUGAUGACGGUAUCUUAC
rnacentral:rRNA from 1 species